AACGCUAGCUACAGGCUUAACACAUGCAAGUCGAGGGGCAGCAUUUCAGUUUGCUUGCAAACUGGAGAUGGCGACCGGCGCACGGGUGAGUAACACGUAUCCAACCUGCCGAUAACUCGGGGGUAGCCUUUCGAAAGAAAGAUUAAUACCCGAUGGUAUAAUUAGACCGCAUGGUCUUGUUAUUAAAGAAUUUCGGUUAUCGAUGGGGAUGCGUUCCAUUAGGCAGUUGGUGAGGUAACGGCUCACCAAACCUUCGAUGGAUAGGGGUUCUGAGAGGAAGGUCCCCCACAUUGGAACUGAGACACGGUCCAAACUCCUACGGGAGGCAGCAGUGAGGAAUAUUGGUCAAUGGACGAGAGUCUGAACCAGCCAAGUAGCGUGAAGGAUGACUGCCCUAUGGGUUGUAAACUUCUUUUAUACGGGAAUAAAGUGAGGCACGUGUGCCUUUUUGUAUGUACCGUAUGAAUAAGGAUCGGCUAACUCCGUGCCAGCAGCCGCGGUAAUACGGAGGAUCCGAGCGUUAUCCGGAUUUAUUGGGUUUAAAGGGAGCGUAGGCGGACGCUUAAGUCAGUUGUGAAAGUUUGCGGCUCAACCGUAAAAUUGCAGUUGAUACUGGGUGUCUUGAGUACAGUAGAGGCAGGCGGAAUUCGUGGUGUAGCGGUGAAAUGCUUAGAUAUCACGAAGAACUCCGAUUG
rnacentral:rRNA from 1 species